CAAGGCUUCCAUUAAAUUUUGGUGAGUCAUUUUCUAAUUGGUUCAAUACUCGGCCUGGUGACAUGGCCUUCAUCUUUCCUCAGGCAUCUUGAAAAAUGGUAACUUCUUAUGUCUUUUUCUGAUGUUUAUUUGUGUCUCUUCCCUUCAGACUAAUAUGAAGGGGGGGUCAGCAAUUUGUACAGUCUUUUACUCUUUCACAUAUAUCUUCAGAGAUUUUUGAGUGGUCAGAAAAUAUGUGUUGGGAAAGCAGCUAUUUUUCACCUGAUUUCAUAGAGGGGUUUGGCUGGAAAACUGCAAUGAUGGCCUAUUUUAAGCCCCUGUUUUUGUACUGGAGAUGCAGUGAAUCAUCAGGAAGGCCUCCAGAUUCAAUUGAAAGAUUCCACAUCAAAGAGAAAUGGCCAUAUUCCUAUAUCAGGCCUUUCAGGAAUGGGCAGCAAACCCUGAUGCUUCUGUUUGACACUUCUGGCAAGACUCAGAGCGACAGCGAGGCCACUCUGCCUUCCUUGCAAUGCUGCACAGCUGAUGUCUGCCUGGGGCUGCAAGAUGCUGGAUGUGUUCACAGAAACAUCUCUUCCAAACCCUUGUCACACAGGGCUGCUGAAAAAGCAUGA
rnacentral:lncRNA from 1 species